CGCAUUCCUGAAGAAUAUGCGGAUUGCUCCCUUCAUUUUCAGCGCUCUUUGAUUGCCCCGCUGUGACCUCUUUGGUGUAUUUCUACUUUGUCGCCCGCUUUUGCGAUGCUUCUUGUUGCCUCGAAGAUCACCAUGAUCGCCUCCGACUCGGCGACGUCAAAGAUUCAAAAUGAGCCUGCAGACGCCACAGCUAGAACACGAAAGGUGAAUUCUUGGACAAGUCAUCAUCUAGCGUCUCCAUAAUCGGAUGCAGUGAUGCUGAGAGAAUGCACCGCAGGGAGUGGAAGGAAAUCGCUGCUGAUGCAACCACAAGCAUUUCCAACAUUGAUCAGCCGGUGCACAGUGCCUUCACUAGUAGAGAUGAUGAAUUUAGUCACCCAGCUGCGAGACUUUGCAAAUUUGCAGGAGUGGGAGUAAAUUUCGCUGUCAUGUGAGCAAACUAAAUGUAAAAUGUGCCUUGUCAGAGUGUAUGCCUGAUAUACAAGGGGUGUUCAUAAAGUUUGUAUUAUCAGUACCAUAAAUUCGAAACAGGUGUGCACAUUAGGCAUCAGCAUGAGUGCAUGUCAUUCUAGAUUUAGCAGAGUAUAUAUUGUGUUCUAUGUAGUACUGCCAUUCACUGCUAGAAGCACCAAACCAAAAACGGCAGCGUCAAUCGAGAAAGUUGCUUGUAGCAAAAGCAGUGAUCAGCUUUCUGCAUUUCAAGGGACAAAAUUUUAGGGGUGUGUGAAUAUUCAAUUUUUUCAGAUAACGAAUCAAAUAGUCCCUAUUAGUAAGUGCAAAUAUUUUUCUAACACUUUUAGAAUAUUUUACAAUGUCAACUGCACUCAAUUAAACAUAAAAAUGGAGCAAACGUACAGUAAGUUUGCAUCCCCAUGGGGAUAGUAUAGACGAAAAACAGAACUUGCCUCGUGGAGCAGGCUAAGCUGCUUAGGUAGCCAUACUUUACAUGUCAUACAGCAAUCAUUUGCACUUUCUGAAGAGUCCUGUGUACUUGAAAAAACUACUUGUUUGCUCCUAAUGCCCCGUUGGUGCUUUUAUUAAACAACACUUCAUAACGUGCUAUGUAUGACAGAAACUUGCCAACUUUAAGCAUGCUAGGAUGUGAACAUCUUUUUAUAUGUAAAAUUAUGACAAUGGCUGUUCAUUAUUGGAAAAUGAUUCUAUAUUUGAUUUGCUUUAAGCACUGUUGGAUUUGUAUUGCAUUUGAUCUAAAAAAUCGCUCUUCGCACACCCCUACAAAAUUCCAAAAAGAUUGAUGUCAACACUUUGCAGUGUUGGUCACCGCAUGCCGUAACCAGCUCAGUGUGAAUCUCUAACAUUGUGCCUCUUAAAUUGCAGAAAGCAAAUUGCUACUCUUGUUUCAACUAACUUUCCCAAUGGAUGCUGCCAUUUGUAGUUUGAUGCCCCUCGCAGCGUUUCGUGAUACUAUAUAGAAGACAAUUUUUAUAUCUUGCUGAAACUAAAGAUGUGCACUCUUGUUGAUGCUUAUUCCACACACGUGUUCCAAAUUUAUGGUGCUGAUAAUAGAAACUUUAUUAAUGACCCUAGCCUAUAGGGAUCCAUGGUCUGAUUACGAGGCGCACAAUAGCGAGGGCCUCUGGAUUAAUUCUGAAGACCGAAGGUUCUUUGCUGCACACCCAAUGUGUGGCACACGAGGGUUUGUACAUUCUGCCUCCAUCGGAAAACCGGCUCACACAUCACACUUACGCAAACCUAUUUGAAAUAAACAGAGGGCACAGCUUUAUGUUCA